rnacentral:lncRNA from 1 species
GCUGAAGGGAGGAAAAGAGUGAUUAAAAAGAAUAGGAACGAUCUCUAGAUGACUGAAUGAAAUUCUAUCUUUUUUUUUUUUUUUUUUUUGCUUCUGGGCCAGUCGGUGAGGUUAGAGAAAUAAUUAUCCUUGUCGGUGGCUGUGUAUAUCAACCCAGUGAGGAGGCUGAGAUCUGUAAGAAAAGAAGUGGUCAAGUUUUCAUCUAGUCUGAUGUCCUGUGUAUUAUGGGGUUACACAAAGAGCUUCCUACAAGGAAACCCUCCUCUCCACUGCCAAGGGCUUCAAAUACCUUUGGAAGAUGAAAGACUUCAUAGGUAGAUCACACCUUGAUGACUGAGUAUUUCAAUCUAAUUCAUCUGGUGAACUACUGAAAAAUUAAAUUGUCUUGUGUCUGUGUUUCUAUGUGAGAUGAAGACGC